rnacentral:tRNA from 1 species
GAGGGUGUACCUCAGAAGUAGAGCAUGUGCUUAGCGUGCACGAGGUCCUGGGUUCAAUCCACAGUACCUCCA